AUUAAUGGAAGCUUCUCGGAGUGAAGAAAAAUGAUACAACAUGGAAAUUCAGAUCUACAGAUAGUACUGAGGAUGGAAAAUAUGUGGGCAACAGUGACUUCCACUACUCCAUCUUCCAGAUUCACAUCUGCAAGAGAAAAAUGCCGUGUGUUCUUUUUUAAAUCUGCUUUUCAUUUUGAUCACCUUCUCAAACACCUGGAGGACUAAUGUGGACCACCCAGAGGAAUGCUAUCUGAAACCUACCAGCAGCUUAUGGUAGUGUAAGAUCAGUGGGUGACUCUGUAGUCCUGAGUUAUUAUUCCAUCUCUGCCAUUACCUGGCUGUAACAUUGGACAGGUCACUUAACCUCCCUGUACCUUACUUUCCUAGCUAGGGGUAUUAUCAU